CCUACGGGGAGCUGCAGUGGGGAAUAUUGGACAAUGGGCGAAAGCCUGAUCCAGCCAUGCCGCGUGUGUGAAGAAGGCCUUCGGGUUGUAAAGCACUUUCAGUGGGGAAGAAAGCCUUGGGGCUAAUACCCUCGAGGAAGGACAUCACCCACAGAAGAAGCACCGGCUAACUCCGUGCCAGCAGCCGCGGUAAUACAGGAGGGUGCGAGCGUUAAUCGGAAUUACUGGGCGUAAAGCGCGCGUAGGCGGUCUGAUAAGCCGGUUGUGAAAGCCCCGGGCUCAACCUGGGAACGGCAUCCGGAACGGUCAGGCUAGAGUGCAGGAGAGGAAGGUAGAAUUCCCGGUGUAGCGGUGAAAUGCGUAGAGAUCGGGAGGAAUACCAGUGGCGAAGGCGGCCUUCUGGACUGACACUGACGCUGAGGUGCGAAAGCGUGGGUAGCAAACAGGAUUAGAUACCCUGGUAGUC
rnacentral:rRNA from 1 species